CGUAAACCUGUGUGACCACUACGGUGACCAGUUCCCGCUUUGAACGAACCUUCCCGCUCUCUCUCUCCGCGCUCAGUUCUGUCGGUCCUAAACGGAGACAGCUGAACCCACUGUCCGACCGUGAGUCUGAAGACAAACACAGCCUUAUUCCACCGCAGGCUGCUUUAUCUGGGCCUGUCCGAACUCCAAACAUGGCGAAGCGACGAGGGAAACUGAACCACAUGGACAUAAGAACGUUUUUGAGUCCACAAAAACGCAGAGUAAUGGAUCCUGAAGAGGGAAGUGGAGACGCCCAGUCGCAGGGAGAAGACUUGAACAACCAGGAAGGAAAAACGGCUGAUGGAGGCUCCGUACUUAAGGAUUUGAAUCACAAACCAAAGAUAAAGUCUGAGGAAGCCGCUGGGUCAGAGGUGAGUAUGAUUAUGCUUUUGCAGAGAUCAGCUGAUUCCCUGAAAACACUGAAGGACUAAUGUAGCAAGUGUUUUCAAGCGCCAAAACCAAACUCUUAUCGUACUAAACCCCUUCUUCAUGUUUGCAUCCGACAUAAACUGUUUACGCUUGUGACAUGUUUGUUUUGCAGGUUCAUUCACAUAAAUUCAUUUUAAAAUUCAAGAACUCUGAGGACAGAUACAC
rnacentral:lncRNA from 1 species